rnacentral:tmRNA from 1 species
GGGGACGUUGUGGUUUUGACAGGGUGCUUUAUCAACCGUGAUGCAGGCCGCGCGGAUAUUGCGCGUUACCAAUAAUCAAAAAAAUAAACGCUAAUAACGUUGUAAAAGCUGACUUUGCUCCCAGAGCAAUCGCUGCAUAGUUUGCGCGACAGCCACUCUAUCUUGCCAGCUUGCCGCAAUUUAGGGUCAAUUAUGCAAGCCUUGACGCCUGCAGCUUGAGGCGCAGUCGUUUAAGUAUUCAGCCUUAAGGGGUUGUCUUUCCUUAUAAAAAAGACUCUGGCCGUUAAUUUGGUUAAAGACAUCUUUCCGAUUUACAGCCGAGAUGAAAAGAUUCUAAGCUUGUAGAUUCGCGCUUGUUAUCAUUUUGGACGCGGGUUCAACUCCCGCCGUCUCCACCA